UACGAAGGGGGCUAGCGUUGCUCGGAAUCACUGGGCGUAAAGGGUGCGUAGGCGGGUCUUUAAGUCAGGGGUGAAAUCCUGGAGCUCAACUCCAGAACUGCCUUUGAUACUGAGGAUCUUGAGUCCGGGAGAGGUGAGUGGAACUGCGAGUGUAGAGGUGAAAUUCGUAGAUAUUCGCAAGAACACCGGUGGCGAAGGCGGCGACCUGGGUCGAGACUGACGCUGAGGCGCGAAAGCGUGGGGAGCAAACAGG
rnacentral:rRNA from 1 species